rnacentral:rRNA from 1 species
UACGUAGGGUGCGAGCGUUAAUCGGAAUUACUGGGCGUAAAGCGUGCGCAGGCGGUGAGCUGUGUCCGAUGUGAAAGCCCCGGGCUUAACCUGGGAAUGGCAUUGGAAACUGGCUCGCUGGAGUGUGGCAGAGGGGGGUGGAAUUCCGCGUGUAGCAGUGAAGUGCGUAGAGAUGCGGAGGAACACCGAUGGCGAAGGCAGCCCCCUGGGCCAACACUGACGCUCAGGCACGAAAGCGUGGGGAGCAAACAGG